AACCCGGUGUUUUUCAACACCACCUGAUUCAACCAGGGAAGGGACUU
rfam:Gonium pectorale scaffold01257, whole genome shotgun sequence.